CGAUAGCUGGUUUCUCAAGAAAAGAAUUUUAGUUCAGCCUAAAGUAACUCNUGACCUUANCUAUGUUUAUCCNNNAAACCUUUAGAGUAAUUCAAACGAGGUACAGCCCGUUUGAUAUAGGAUACAACCUUCACUAAUGGGUAAUANNAUCAAUNUCGCAUCUUUAAGUAGGCCUAAGAGCAGCCAUCUUUUAAAAAGCGUCAAAGCUUGACUCUAUCUCANUAUUAAUUCUUAAAUUUACAUUAACCCCUUUAACCCCAUUGAGAACUUCUAUAAUCUUAUAGAACUUUUUAUGCUAAAACUAAUAACAAGAGGCAANNNCCUCUCCAUAAUGCAAGUGUAAACCAGCAAGAANUCAUCACUGUUANAUUAACAGAUUCNNNAUAAAGUAACAACCUGNCCUCUAGAAAACCCUACUUNNNNNNUACUCCCUGUCAACCUAACACUAGAGCAUUUCAAGNAAGAUUAAAAGAAAAAGAAGGAACUCGGCAAAUAUNNNNUAGUCCCGCCUGUUUACCAAAAACAUCGCCUCUCGNNNNACCCCCAUUAGAGGUCCAGCCUGCCCAGUGANCCCUGUUCAACGGCCGCGGUAUUAUAACCGUGCAAAGGUAGCGUAAUCACUUGUUUUCCAAAUAAAGACCAGUAUGAAAGGCACCACGAGAACUAAACUGUCUCCUUUUUCCGAUCAGUGAACCUAAUCUCCCCGUGAAGAAGCGGGGAUAAAAAUAUAAGACGAGAA
rnacentral:rRNA from 1 species